CUGUUCCUGCGCCUGCGUCCUCGGGCUCGCCCGGAGGAGCGCCCCUGGCGGCCGGGAGGAGCAGCGGCGAUGCGCCGGGCCAAACGCGUGGCCGCCAGUUCGAGACCCGGCUCUGGCGCUCGCCGUUUUCGAGCCCUGAGCAAGCGGCUUCCGAAGCCCCGAGUUCUUCGUUGUGGGAGUCAGACCAGCGCCUUUCUCAAAAGGCUGUUGGCGGUUUAAGGGAGAUAAAUGGGCAAAGGCAACGGUGGAUAUUCAGCGGGGCCUCCUGGACAAAUAGCCAGAGGUCAUCUCCGGCUGUGUACACAAGGCAUGGAGCCAGGGUCCUGCCAGGAAGUGCAGGGUCGAGGUCGGAGGUCCGGGGCGAGGCCAAGCUCAUGGGGAGGCUACUGGGGGGACCUGGUCCUGGGCGGGGGCUUGGGGAGGACGGAUGUGGACUUCCUGGACCAGGCUCCUGGGAGGCACUGGACAGUGGACUCCGACCCGGGAUUCAGCCACCCUGCCCUUGGUUCCCCCAGUCCCGUCACUGCCGCCGCCACCAUGCUGCUUCCCAGGACUGCACUUCUCUUGACUCUGCUCCUGGCCGCUGGCUCCCUGGGUCAGAGGGCUCGGAGACCCCCUCGGCCCCUGUCCCCCAUCAGUGCCAUCCAGCCCAAGGCCAACUUCGAUGCUCAGCAGGUUGAGUUGGGAGGAGGUAGGGGCGGCAGGAGCUUGCCCAGCCUCAUAGGGGUCAGACCUGGGUCCCCCAUCCCCUCAUGCCCUUGUGUGGCCUGUCCCCAGUUUGCAGGGACGUGGCUCCUUGUGGCCGUGGCCUCUUCGUGUCGCUUUCUGCAGGAGCAGGGCCACCGGGCUGAGGCCACCACAAUGCAGGUGGCUCCCCAGGGCACAGCCAUGGCCAUCGACACCUUCCGAAAGCUGGACGGCAUCUGCUGGCAGGUGCGGCAGCUCUACGGAGGCACGCAGGUCCCGGGCCGCUUCCUGCUGCAAGCUCUGCCUGCCUCUGUGCAGCUCGAGGCGCCAGGGGGGCGGUGGAUGUGGUCGUUGGGGACACGGACUACCAGAGCUUCGCCAUCCUGUACCUGGAGCGGGCACGGCAGCUGUCGGUGAAGCUGUACGGUGCGUUCGGGCGGGCCCCUGGGCUCCGUGCACACUUGGCCUGUCUAGGGGGGACCGGGGGAGCCCAGGUGCACACACAGACCCUCCUGACCCUCUCCUGCUAAGCGGAUCCAGGGAGGCGUCCCUGCAGAUAGGGACAGAGCCCACAGGAACAGGGAUGGGCGGGGGCCAGGCAGUGGCCGGGUAUGUCACAGACAUGCAGACCCCAUCCCCAGAGCACCCUGCCCCCCACCCGUGGGUGCCCCCCAGGAGCCCUGUGUGUCCUAUAGCCCGCUCACUCCCCGUGGGCGACGCGGCCCUCAACACCUUUGAGCAGCGAGUCCAGGGGGCCAACCUAACCGAGGACCACAUUUGGUUUUUCCCCAAAUACGGUUUCUGUGACACCGCAGACCAGUUCCACAUCCUGGACG